GACGAACGCUGGCGGCGUGCUUAACACAUGCAAGUCGAACGGUGAUGCUCCAGCUUGCUGGCGUGGAUCAGUGGCGAACGGGUGAGUAACACGUGAGCAACCUGCCCCAGACUCUGGAAUAAGCGCUGGAAACGGCGUCUAAUACUGGAUACGAAACUGGCCCGCAUGGGCAUGGUUUGGAAAGUUUUUCGGUUUGGGAUGGGCUCGCGGCCUAUCAGCUUGUUGGUGAGGUAAUGGCACACCAAGGCGACGACAGGUAGCCGGCCUGAGAGGGCGACCGGCCACACUGGGACUGAGACACGGCCCAGACUCCUACGGGAGGCAGCAGUGGGGAAUAUUGCACAAUGGGCGAAAGCCUGAUGCAGCGACGCCGCGUGAGGGAUGACGGCCUUCGGGUUGUAAACCUCUUUCAGCAGGGAAGAAGCGAAAGUGACGGUACCUGCAGAAGAAGCACCGGCUAACUACGUG
rnacentral:rRNA from 1 species